rnacentral:rRNA from 1 species
GAACCUGAUGCAGCCAUGCCGCGUGUGUGAAGAAGGCCUUCGGGUUGUAAAGCACUUUCAGUUGUGAGGAAAGGUUGGUAGUUAAUACCUGCCAGCUGUGACGUUAACAACAGAAGAAGCACCGGCUAACUCCGUGCCAGCAGCCGCGGUAAUACGGAGGGUGCGAGCGUUAAUCGGAAUUACUGGGCGUAAAGCGCACGCAGGCGGUUUGUUAAGCUAGAUGUGAAAGCCCCGGGCUCAACCUGGGAUGGUCAUUUAGAACUGGCAGACUAGAGUCUUGGAGAGGGGAGUGGAAUUCCAGGUGUAGCGGUGAAAUGCGUAGAUAUCUGGAGGAACAUCAGUGGCGAAGGCGGCUCCCUGGCCAAAGACUGACGCUCAUGUGCGAAAGUGUGGGUAGCGAACAGGAUUAGAUACCCUGGUAGUCCACACCGUAAACGCUGUCUACUAGCUGUGUGUGAAUUUAAUUCGUGAGUAGCGAAGCUAACGCGCUAAGUAGACCGCCUGGGGAGUACGGCCGCAAGGUUAAAACUCAAA